UCGCCGGGGCAGUGGGUGCCUGGGACGGCAGCCGCCCGCCAGAGCCCCCCCCCGGCAGCUCUCGGCCCUCCUGGGCUCUCUCCAGAAGCCUGGGAACAAGCUCAGGCAGACGUUACUGUGGAGCGGUCCAGAAAUACCCCGUGGACAGACGGGAUAAGGGCAAGGUUACUCUUCGGGGAGUCUGGACUCCUUCCCAUCUGCUGUCAAGAGCAAUUAGGAAGUUACACCGUUUCUGCAAGAAGGAGAACUGAAGCUGCUGACAGACCAGGACCCGAGCCAGGACCCAGGCUGGGCUGCAGCCCGCUUCGGCUGCUCUGCUCUCCAAGGCGUUUCUGAGAAAUGCCCUUGUAGUAAAUCUGUAAAUAACUCGGUGUCGACACACCAGCUCUUCCUGUCUUCUGCUCAAGCCGCCACCCCCACGAAGAACCGUUCAUCUGAUUAGUUCCUGGCAACCUGAACGCAAGGCCCUGGCGGCUGGAUACCUUCAUGCAAGUUUAAUGAAG